GGUGGUCCAGUGGUAAAACCCUGGGCUGUUAUCUCGCAGACGUGGGUUUAAACCC
rnacentral:tRNA from 16 species